rnacentral:rRNA from 1 species
GUGGGGAAUCUUGCACAAUGGGCGAAAGCCUGACGCAGCCAUGCCGCGUGAAUGAUGAAGGUCUUAGGAUUGUAAAAUUCUUUCACCGGGGACGAUAAUGACGGUACCCGGAGAAGAAGCCCCGGCUAACUUCGUGCCAGCAGCCGCGGUAAUACGAAGGGGGCUAGCGUUGCUCGGAAUUACUGGGCGUAAAGGGCGCGUAGGCGGAUCGUUAAGUCAGGGGUGAAAUCCCAGAGCUCAACUCUGGAACUGCCCUUGAUACUGGCGAUCUUGAGUGUGAGAGAGGUAUGUGGAACUCCGAGUGUAGAGGUGAAAUUCGUAGAUAUUCGGAAGAACACCAGUGGCGAAGGCGACAUACUGGCUCAUUACUGACGCUGAGGCGCGAAAGCGUGGGGAGCAAACAGGAUUAGAAACCCGGGUAGUCC